CACGUAGUUAGCCGGGGCUUCUUCUGCAGGUACCGUCAUGGUUCUUCCCUGCUGAAAGCGGUUUACAACCCGAAGGCCUUCGUCCCGCACGCGGCGUUGCUGCGUCAGGGUUGCCCCCAUUGCGCAAUAUUCCCCACUGCUGCCUCCCGUAGGAGUCUGGGCCGUAUCUCAGUCCCAAUGUGGCCGAUCGCCCUCUCAGGCCGGCUACCCAUCGCAGGCUAGGUGGGCCGUUGCCCCGCCUACUACCUAAUGGGCCGCGACCCCAUCCCGCACCGUCUGGGCUUUCCCGGGCCGCGCAUGCGCGAGGCCCGGAGUAUCCGGUAUUAGCCGCCGUUUCCGGCGGUUGUCCCGGGGUGCGGGGCAGGUUGGUCACGUGUUACUCACCCGUUCGCCACUCUAUGACCGCCCGAAGGCGGGUUAUUCGUUCGACUUGCAUGUGUUAGGCACGCCGCCAGCGUUCAUCCUGAGCCAGGAUCAAACUCU
rnacentral:rRNA from 1 species